AAGUCGUAACAAGGUUUCCGUAGGUGCGUAUCGAAACGUUAAAACCCCCCCCGUGAACCUUCAUCCUGCUCUUGUAACCCGCGUAGUUCGCAAUCUGAUAAAUCAUAGCCCGGAAAGUUGUAGUGAUUCAGAGACCUCUGGCUACGUGCGAACAUUGGAACAGUUACAAUCGAGCGGUAGAUCUAUAGGCAAUGUUUCCCCAAGCAGUCAGUGUCGGAAAGUGUCAUUGAUUGUGCGCUUCUACGAUUCCUGUAGACCGUACACUCGGCAGGAGCUUACCCCACAGUUUAAUGUGAAGCUCAAUGUAAUACAUUGGGUAAAAAAACCGAACAACUGUUAACAAUGGAUAUCUUGGUUCUC
rnacentral:misc_RNA from 1 species